GCCGUAACAGGUACUGGAGGUCCGAACCGACUGGUGUUGCAAAACCAGCGGAUGAGCUGUGGAUAGGGGUGAAAGGCUAAACAAACUUGGAAAUAGCUGGUUCUCUCCGAAAACUAUUUAGGUAGUGCCUCAAGUAUUACCUGCGGGGGUAGAGCACUGUUUUGGCUAGGGGGUCAUGGCGACUUACCAAACCAAGGCAAACUCCGAAUACUGCAGAGUACAGCUUGGGAGACAGAGCACCGGGUGCUAACGUCCGGACUCAAGAGGGAAACAACCCAGACCGCCAGCUAAGGUCCCUAAAAUUGGCUAAGUGGGAAACGAAGUGGGAAGGCUAAAACAGUCAGGAUGUUGGCUUAGAAGCAGCCAUCAUUUAAAGAAAGCGUAAUAGCUCACUGAUCGAGUCGUCCUGCGCGGAAGAUGUAACGGGG
rnacentral:rRNA from 1 species